rnacentral:misc_RNA from 1 species
CCCGUAUGUGAAUGAAUUACAGAAAAAGUAACAAGAUUCUACCAAUCCAAUCUGUAAUGCAAGCAGCUUACUGGUUGCCUAACCAUCGAAGAGAGCUUCAUGAUGGUUAUGAAUUUAAAAGAGUCCUACCCCUUCCUAGUCCUAAGCUCGCUUGAGCAUGUGACCAGCUCUCACACUCUCGGCAAAAACCAAGGAUGCUUUUAUCACCGUUCACAGGCGUUAUAAUUGUAUUAUUUUGUAAGGCUACAACUUCAUCAAGGGCAUGUGGAAGACGCCGGAGCAAACCAUCGUUUAAAUAUUGUAACACCAUCUCAGAAUCAAACCCUAACAGCGUUUGAUUCUUACCCCUAAGAGCUUUUAUUGAAAUUAAUUUCAGAGCUUUGGUUAAAAAUAUACAACUGACCAGAAUUGAAUGGUAGCGAGUCAUGACCCCGGUUGCUUCACGAGGACGUUCAGUCUAAAGGGGUCGGGAAUGAUGAGUCCCACAUCGGUUCUGCAGGGA